AUGAACGCUGGCGGCGUGCUUAACACAUGCAAGUCGAACGAUUAACCCGCCCUCGGGCGGUUAUAGAGUGGCGAACGGGUGAGUAACACGUGACCAACCUGCCCCUUGCUCCGGGAUAACCCAGGGAAACCUCGGCUAAUACCGGAUACUCCGCGCAGCCCGCAUGGGGGGCGCGGGAAAGCCCAGACGGCAAGGGAUGGGGUCGCGGCCCAUUAGGUAGACGGCGGGGUAACGGCCCACCGUGCCCGCGAUGGGUAGCCGGGUUGAGAGACCGAUCGGCCACAUUGGGACUGAGAUACGGCCCAGACUCCUACGGGAGGCAGCAGUGGGGAAUUUUGCGCAAUGGGGGAAACCCUGACGCAGCAACGCCGCGUGCGGGACGAAGGCCUUCGGGUUGUAAACCGCUUUCAGCAGGGAAUAUAGUGAAGGUACCUGCAGAAGAAGCUCCGGCUAACUACGUGCCAGCAGCCGCGGUAAUACGUAGGGAGCGAGCGUUAUCCGGAUUCAUUGGGCGUAAAGCGCGCGUAGGCGGCCCGUCAAGCGGGGUUUCAAAUCCAGGGGCUCAACCUCUGGCCGGACCCCGAACUGGCGGGCUCGAGUGCGGUAGAGGAAGGUGGAAUUCCCAGUGUAGCGGUGAAAUGCGCAGAUAUUGGGAAGAACACCGAUGGCGAAGGCAGCCUUCUGGGCCGCCACUGACGCUGAGGCGCGAAAGCUAGGGGAGCGAACAGGAUUAGAUACCCUGGUAGUCCUAGCCGUAAACGAUGGGCACUAGGUGUGGGGGAGCAUCUCCUCCGUGCCGCAGCCAACGCAUUAAGUGCCCCGCCUGGGGAGUACGGCCGCAAGGCUAAAACUCAAAG
rnacentral:rRNA from 1 species